UACGUGAGGGGCAAGCGUUGUCCGGAUUUAUGGCGUAAAGAGCGUGUAGGCGGUUUGGUAGGUCCGCUGUGAAAACCGUCGAGGCUACAUCCGAGACGCUGGUGGAAACCUGCGAGCUAGGAGUCCGGAAGAGGAGAGUGGGAAUUCCUGGAUGUAGCGGUGAAAUGACGCAGAUAUCAGGAAGAACACCCGUGGCUAAGGCGGCGUCUCUAGUACGGUACUGACGCUGAGACGCGAAAGCGUGGGGAGCGAACAGG
rnacentral:rRNA from 1 species